AGGAAAAAAGGCAACCACGCGAUCACGCCAAAUUGAUCAUUACAUAAAAUUGAACUUUUCAUCAUUACCUAAUCAAAAUAAACAAUCUAUUUAAAAAAAUACCACACUACGAUACAAUAGGUAAUAACCAUUCCAAACAAGUGACACUUUGGAGAUACAUUGAUAUCUUAAGAAAGAUUAGAAGAUCUUUCAAUGCCGGAUCAGAAGUCAAAUCAAAGGAAAAUAUAAGAACUGUUGAUGUGUUAGGACUGUCAAAAAGUCAUCGUUCCAGAAAAUAAUUGUUUGGUGGAGGAGGAUAGUAUUGAAGGGUUGGGGUAGAUUGCUCCUCAACUCAGGGACCAGUUCCCAGAUGAACACAACAAGCAAAAAUAAGAGUACAAGCUGUAAAAAUACGUAAAAAAAAUAAAUGGAAAGACACAAGAGUUUUACAUGGCUGGAACAGUCAGAGGCUUAGUAAGAAAUCUCUAUAACAUGUAAUACCAUACGUCAAGGUCAGGCCAUUUGGUGGACUGUUUGAAACAACACAAUUUUGAAGACAAAAGGAGAAACAUACACAACCUUAAACAAAGACGGUACUUUUUUGUUAGCUUUUUGGUGCAAUCAGGGAAUGCUAGAGACAAUAGGGUGAUUGCACAACCUGUUAUUAUCUGAUGCACUUGCUUAGUGCAUAGCUUCAUAAAAUUUCUAAAUACUUAUAUAACAAAACUUUUCUUCCGUAUCAAGUGUUUUAUGUUCUUUCGUUAUACAUUUCGUGUUACUUUUUUUUCUUAAAAGCUUCUCAUAUAUCGCUUUUCAGAAUUGCAAUAACCUCAUUUACGAAAUGAGGUUAAUCUUUUUAUAUGUAAAUAUUCUAAAAAGGCUAAUCAAAUACAAUUCGAAUGAAAAUUUAGAUAAUAAUAUAUAUCGUACAUGAAACUGAAUUUUUUUAUAAUUUCACAAGUACGUUAUAAUAAAAAAAAAAUAUCUAUAAAAUUAAUUAUUAAUAUAUUUUUCAUGACCACGUGAAGCGCGGCACGUUUCCCUAGCUUAAAUAAUACUUCAAAUUUUCUAAGGGCAAAUACUUCCCCUCUUGCAUUGCGAAAUGGUUAAAUGGGACCCUAUUAAUAAAUUGGAAUUCUUUACACAUGAAUGGACAAAAUUAUACUUGUGUGGUCAAAUCAUUAUUAUCAUUUUAUCCGUCUCAUUUUAUCUGUCGUCAUUUUUUUUAUUCAUCUUAUAAAAAUAUUAAUUUUUUAUUCAACAAAUAUUUAAUAACAUCAUUCCUAUUUUAUCCUUAUUGAAUCUCACUUAAUAGGAAAAAAUAACUAAAAAAUAAAUAUUAAAGUGACUUUAAGAAAGUUAAUAUUAUAAAUUUUAUAAAGUCAUCAUUUAUUUUUUAAAUUUUGUAUUAAAUAAAAUGAAGAGAAUACUACUUUCUUUAUCAAUACCAUGUGUUUACUAAUGACUUGACACGCAGAUUAAGAAAUAAUAAACAAUAGAUGACUUUAUAAACUUUACAAAGUCAUCAUUUAUUUUUUGAACUCUGCAUCCGCUUAAAAAAUGACACAUAAAAUGAAACAGAAAAAAUAUUAUUUUCUUUAUCAACAACAUGUGUUUACUAUUGACUUGACACACACGUUAAGAAAUAAUAUAAAUAAUAGAAACAUUUUGACUAUAUAAACUUUUAAAUAUAAUAAAUUUUAUGUCUUACAAAAAUAUAUUAAGUGAUAAAUAAUAUUUAAAAGUAAUAAUAAAAUAAUUAGAAAUAAUAAAUUAUUUUUUAAACUAAACAAGUAUUAUGAAAUGUAAAUAUACAUUUAUAUAAUGAUCAAUUCUCUAUUUUCAUAGUCAGGUCAGGUGCAUGUAUAUUAAUAACUAGAUAUCGAUGGCACGUGGCAGCACGGGUCUAGUAUAUAUUUUUUAAUCUUAAUUUAAAUUAUUAAAAUAAUUUAUGUUUUUAAUUAUUAUGAUUUAUAAUAUUUUUUUCUUCUGUUUCAAUUUAAAUAAUGCUGGUAUAAUUUCAAGAGUCAGUCAAAUAAUUUAUACUUUUUAAAUUUCUAAAGUUGUUAAUUAAGCGAUUUACAAUGUCUUUUACAUUAUUUUUCAAUAAUAUAUGAAUAUUCUUCCUGUCUCAAUUUAUGUGGCACAAAUAAAAUUUCGACAGUCAAUCAAUUGUCCCAUCUCAAUUUAUGUGCACUAAUAUAAUUUCAAUAGUCAAUCAAAUUUUUUAUGUUGACAUAUAAUUUUAUGUUUUUUUUAUUUUUUUAUGAAAUAUUAUUAAUUUUUCAAUACUUAGACGAUCAUAAUAAUUAAUUAGGGGUGAUAUAGUAAAAUUCCAAUGAAAACAAUGAAGCACACAUGUCUUAAGUGACUUGUAAUAACUAAUUAGAAGCGACACAGCAAAAUUACUAUAAAAAUGUAUAAUAAUUAAUUAGCAAUGACAUAGUAAAAUUACUAUUGAAACAGACAUACAUGUCUAUUUUACCUUUUUUCUAAUUAAAUAUUAUUAUUUUUUUAACAUGUAAAUAAUUUAUAAUAUUUAAUUAGGGAUAUAAUAAUUAAUUAGAGAUGAUAUAGUAAAAUUACGAUUGAAGCAACUAAAACAGACAUGUCAAAAGUGUUUCUUUUAAUUUUUUAUUAAUAUUAUUAAUUUCUCAAUAAAUAAAUGACUUGUAAUAAUUAAUUGGGGGUGAUAUAGUAAAACUAAAGUUGAAGCAGCUGAAGCAAGCAUGUAGACCCCAUGCUUGCUUUGCUGAUACGGUAAAAUUACGAUUGAAGUAGCUAAAAUAGUCAUAAAUGUCCAUUUUACCUUUUUCUAAUUAAAUUUAUUAAUUUUGUAAUACGUAAAUAAAUUACAAUAUUUAAUUAGGGAUACAAUAAUUAAUUAGGUACAAUAUAGUUAAAUUACGGUUGAAGUAACUGAAGGAGAUAUGUCAUAAACGUCUAUUUUAAUACUCUUUAUUAAAUAUAUUAAUUUUAAAAUACAUAAAUGACUUAUAAUAAUUAAUUAGGGGCAAUAUAGUAAAAUUAGUUGAAGCAGGCAUGUCGACCUCAUGCCUGCUUCAACUGCUCAACUCCCUCUUACGGUAAAAUUACGAUUGAAGCAGCUGAAACAGUCAUAAAUGCGUAUUUUUACCUCUUUCUUAAUUAAAUAUUAUUAAUUUUGUAAUACGUAAAUGACUUACAAUAUUUAAUUAAAGAUACAAUAAUUAAUUAGGGGUGAUAUAGUAAAAUUACGGUUGAACCAGCUGAAACAGAUAUAUCAUAAAUUUUUAUUUUAAUUUUUUAUUAAAUAUUAUUAAUUUUUUAAUACAUAGAUAAUUUAUAAUAAUUAAUUGAGAGGUGAUAUAGUAAAAUUACAGUUGAAGCAGCUAAAGCAGGCAUGUCGACCUCUUGCCUGCUUCAGCUGCUCAACUGUCUCUUAUAAAUAAGAGAAUGUACAUAUAUUCAAAUAUAGGUUCUUUAAGGUCAAAAUUCUACUUUCAGAUAAAUAUACUAGGUGAUUUUUUUUCCAUCUGUUUUAAUCUUAAUUGAUUGAAUUAUUUGAUAUUAUUGAUAAAAAAAUAACAAAUAUUUUAUACAAUUAGUUAAGAUACACAAAAGCUAACAUAAAUACUAUGAUUAUUAAAAAAAAAAAUAAAAAAAAUCAAGAAUUCUGCUUUGCCAAGAAGCCAAAGAGUAGGAUACAUACUAUCUUAAUCUUUAAUAUAUUUUUUUCUAGAAAAUAGUUCACUCAAAAUUAUUUUAAAAGACAACAUAAACAUACACCAUAACUUAGAUAUUUAUAUAAAUUUUAUGAUUUAAAAUAAUUCUUAAAUAUUCUCAUUAAGGAUAAAGAAAAAUUUUAAAUUUAAAUUUACUUUGUGGGUGUCUUAUUUCAUUUACUAUCUAACAGUGUGAUACUUUUCUUUGUCGUUGCUUUAACAUUACGUCUUUUUUAUUAUAUUGGUAUUUAUCCUGAGUAGAAGAUUUGUCGAAAAUAUCUCUAUUUCAUCUGAGAUAGUGGUAUGAAUUGCAUACACUUUAUCCUUUUCAAAUUCACUUUGUGAAGAUACAUUGAAGAUGUUGUUGUUGAUAAUAAGAUGACACUUUUUUUAAAGGUACUUUAAAAAAGUGUCACAUAAAAUAAAAGAGAGAGAGUAUUUUAGAAAAAAUAACAUAAACAUACAUUUUAACUUAUCAUAUUUAUAUAAAUCUCUAUCCUUAUAAAGUAUGAUAAAUUACACAAAUCUCAUACUUAAGAGACUAUAUUAUCUAAUAUCCCUUACUUUUUUAAAAUUUAUAUAAAAUCUCAUUUUUCAACUUUACUCUUGAUACAUAUCAAUAAAACUCCACAACUUAUUUUUACUCCACCAUUAACUCAUUCAAGAUUUUCUUCCCUAAAAUAUCUCCCUAAUUAUCAACAAUUAAAUCAUCUUUCUUCCUGAUUUUUUUCUUCCACUAAUGCUUAAAUCAUCUUUUUUUCUCCUCCAUUAAUGCAUGCAACUUUUUUUUUCCUCUCCUAAAAUCUCUCCAUUUUUUUAAAAAAAAUCUAUUGAUACAUAUAUACAUUUAUUUAGUUAUUCAUACAUAUUUAUUUUUUUAAUGGUGAUUCAUAUGAAUGAUAAAUAUGAUAUCAUUAUAUGGGUAUUAUGGUGAUUCAUACGAUAGAUACAUUUUGUAUAAUUUUAACGGGUGAUACAUAUAAUAUUAAUAGGUGAUACAUAUUGUAUUAUGAUGAUUCAUAUGGUAGAUACAAUUAUUUAUUUCAAUUAUUAGGUGAUUCAUACGAUAUUAAUGGGUGAUAUCUAUGGUAUUAUGGUGAUUCAUAUGGUAAUAUAAUUAUUUAUUUUAAUUAUUGGGUUAUUCAUAUAUAUGGUAUUUUAGUGAUUCAUAUGGUAGAGACAAUUGUUUAUUUCAAUUAUUGGGUCAUUCAUAUGUAUGAUAUUAUGGUGAUUAAUAUAGUAGAUACAAUUAUUUAUUUCAAUUAUUGGGUGAUUCAUAUGAUAUACAUGGUAUUAUGGGUGAUUCAUAUGUUAUUAAUGAAAGGUAAUGGUGUAGUCAGUGUAGGAAACAAACGUAAUAAUAUUUAAAAAAAAAAAAAAAGACUAAAAGCAGAAUUGAAACAUAAUUAAAAUUAAAUCUAAAAAAGUAGACUAAAAUUAGAAAUGAGAUUAAAGACGAAAAAAAGAGAAAAAAAGACCAAAAGAAUAUAUCUUUUAUAAUUAAAGACAAAAAAAAGAGAAACAUAUUAAAAUACCUAAAUUAAAUCUAAAAAAAAGAAAAAUUAGAUAUCUUUUCUUAAAUAAAAUAAUACAAUAAAUAAAAGAGAAUAUAUUAUUUCCUUAAAUAAAUAUCUUGUUAGUUUCAAAUGUAUCACUUUUUUAUAUGUAUCACCAUAUAAUAUAUGUAUCACAUUUAGAGAUUUAUGUAAGUUACCCUAUAAAGUAAUUAUAAAAAUUUCAACUAAUUAUGCAUCUUCGUUGGAUGUAUAGAGAGCUAAUUAUAUAUUUCAAUAGAUUUAAAAUAAAAAAAAUAUAUCAAAAGCUAAUUAUGUAUCUUUAUAAAGGAAUAAAUAUAUAUAUAUGUUGGAUAUAUUGAGAGUUAAUUAUGUAUCACGAUAAAUUCAAUAUUAAAAUUCUCAAUAAUUAUACAAAAUCUUAAAAAAUUUGUAUAAUUAAAUUUUAAACUAUCGAAAUUUAUGUUUUUUCUCCGUAUAUUUAAUUAUGAAGCUUCGGGAACUUCUACUUGAGCUAACCGCCAGAUAAAAAUCUCAUAAAUAUAAAUACGACAAAUUUUAUAUUUUAUAAUAUUAUAUAAGUAAAUAAAUAACAUUUCAAUCAACCUACGUCGGUAGAAGUCAAAAACUACUACUCUAAAUAAAUAAAUAAAUAUCUCAAACUGAAUUUCUGAGAUUAUAUGUAUUCUGAUAAUGAAACUGAAUUUCCAAAUUUCCAAAUGAAUAAUGAUGAUUAUCCUAAUAUUCCUUCUCCUUUUUUAACCACAUCAAAAAAAUCUACAACGUAAGUUAAUUUAUUAAUUAUCUUUUAUUGUUUAAUCUUCGUUCAUUUUCAAUACUAUCGUGAAAUAAGCAAUAGGAUUUUUCAUUUGUAUAUAUGAGUUGAUUUUUCUUUGUUCAUUUUCAGUACUGAUCGUGAAAUAAGUAAGGGUUCAAAAUUUGAAGUAAAAUUUUUAAUUUACGUGUUCUUAGUAGUUUGUAAUUUAGGAAAAAUAACAUAAAUAUAUACCUUAUCUUGUCAUAUUUGUCAGAAUCUUCACCCUUAUGAGAGAAUUACAAGAAUUUUAACUAAUUAUAAAUUUUCAUUAAAUAUAUGAAGAGCUAAUUAUGUAUCUUGAUACUAUUCUUCGUAAUUGUACAGUAUAUAGGUGAGAUUUUUGUUCGUUCAUUUUUAAUACUGAUCGUGAAAUUCAGUAAAAAUUUUAAUUUACGCGUUCUUAGUAUUAAAUUUUACUUAUGUGUUGUUUUCAUGAUAUGUAUAUGUGAGAUUUUUCUCUGUUUAUUUUCACUAUUGAUCAUGUAAUAAAGUGAAAUUUUUUAUUUACGUGUUAUAUUAGUAUUAAAUUUUACUUAUGUGUUGUUUUCAUAAUUUGUAUAUGUGAUAUUUUUCUUCGUUCAUUGAUCGUGAAAUAAAGUGAAUUUUUUGAUUUACCUGUUCUUAGUAUUUGUAUAUAUGAGCUGAUUUUUCUUCGUUCAUUUUCAAUAGACUGUGAAAUAAAGUGAAUUUUUUUAUUUACGUGUUCUUAGUAUUUGUAUAUAUGACCUGAUUUUCAUUUUUCUUUGUUCAUUUUCAAUACUGAUUGUACAAAGAGGUGAAAUUUCUAAUUUACGUAGAUAUGAGCUGAUUUUUUCUUCGUUCAUUUUCAAUAGUGACUGUGAAAUAAAGUGAAAUUUUUUAUUUACAUAUAUAUGAGCUGAUUUUUCAUCCUCAUUUUCGAUACUGAUGGUGUAAUUUUGAUAAAAAUAAAAUAAAAUGGUGUAAUUUUGAAAUUCGAAGUGAAAAUUUUGAAUUAAGUAUAAUUAUUGAGGUAUUAUUUUUGAUUAUUACAGAGGAGAUGAAGGAAUGAUGGAGUUAAUAUGGCAAAAUGGACAAAUAAUUGUGCAAAGCCAAAGGCAAAAUCAAAGAAGUAUGAUGAAGAAAUCGCACCUGUUAGAAGCAACGGUAGCAUCAUCAGUUCCAGUAUAUAUACAGGAAGAUGAUGAAAUGAAUUGUUGGCUUCAAUCUCCAUUUGAUGAUGACGAUGAUGAUGAUUCCUC
rnacentral:lncRNA from 1 species